rnacentral:misc_RNA from 1 species
GAUGAAGAACGCAGCGAAAUGCGAUACGUAAUGUGAAUUGCAGAUUUCAGUGAAUCAUCGAAUCUUUGAACGCACAUUGCGCCCGCUAGUAUUCUGGCGGGCAUGCCUGUUCGAGCGUCAUUUCAACCAUCAAGCCCUAGGCUUGCGUUGGAGCCCUGCUGCUGCCGCAGGCUCCCAAAUCCAGUGGCGGGCUCGUCGUCGUAUCGAGUGCAGUAAACAUCCUCGCUCAGGGAACGUGACGGGUUCUUGCCGUGAAACCCCCCACAUAUCAAGGUUGACCUCGGAUCAGGUAGGAAUACCCGCUGAACUUAAGCAUAUCAAUAAGCGGAGGA